rnacentral:rRNA from 1 species
ACGCUGGCGGCAGGCCUAACACAUGCAAGUCGAGCGGUAGAGAGAAGCUUGCUUCUCUUGAGAGCGGCGGACGGGUGAGUAAUGCCUAGGAAUCUGCCUGGUAGUGGGGGAUAACGUCCGGAAACGGACGCUAAUACCGCAUACGUCCUACGGGAGAAAGCAGGGGACCUUCGGGCCUUGCGCUAUCAGAUGAGCCUAGGUCGGAUUAGCUAGUUGGUGGGGUAAUGGCUCACCAAGGCGACGAUCCGUAACUGGUCUGAGAGGAUGAUCAGUCACACUGGGACUGAGACACGGUCCAGACUCCUACGGGAGGCAGCAGUGGGGAAUAUUGGACAAUGGGCGAAAGCCUGAUCCGGCCAUGCCGCGUGUGUGAAGAAGGUCUUCGGAUUGUAAAGCACUUUAAGUUGGGAGGAAGGGCAUUAACCUAAUACGUUAGUGUUUUGACGUUACCGACAGAAUAAGCACCGGCUAACUCUGUGCCAGCAGCCGCGGUAAUACAGAGGGUGCAAGCGUUAAUCGGAAUUGCUGGGCGUAAAGCGCGCGUAGGUGGUUUGUUAAGUUGGAUGUGAAAUCCCCGGGCUCAACCUGGGAACUGCAUUCAAACUGACUGACUAGAGUAUGGGAGAGGGUGGUGGAAUUUCCUGUGUAGCGGUG